rnacentral:rRNA from 1 species
UACGUAGGGUCCGAGCGUUGUCCGGAAUUACUGGGCGUAAAGAGCUCGUAGGUGGUUUGUCGCGUUGUUCGUGAAAACUCACAGCUUAACUGUGGGCGUGCGGGCGAUACGGGCAGACUUGAGUACUGCAGGGGAGACUGGAAUUCCUGGUGUAGCGGUGGAAUGCGCAGAUAUCAGGAGGGAACACCGGUGGGCGAAGGCGGGUCUCUGGGCAG